rnacentral:rRNA from 1 species
GCUAAUACCGGAUAAGAAAAGCAGAUCGCAUGAUCAAGCUUUUAAAAAGGCGGCGUAAGCUGUCGCUAUGGGAUGGCCCCGCGGUGCAUUAGCUAGUUGGUAAGGUAAAAGGCUUACCAAGGCGAUGAUGCAUAGCCGAGUUGAGAGACUGAUCGGCCACAUUGGGACUGAGACACGGCCCAAACUCCUACGGGAGGCAGCAGUAGGGAAUCUUCCACAAUGGACGCAAGUCUGAUGGAGCAACGCCGCGUGAGUGAAGAAGGUUUUCGGAUCGUAAAGCUCUGUUGUUGGUGAAGAAGGAUAGAGGUAGUAACUGGCCUUUAUUUGACGGUAAUCAACCAGAAAGUCACGGGCUAACUACGUGCCAGCAGCCGCGGUAAAAU